rnacentral:rRNA from 1 species
CUUGGUCAUUUAGAGGAAGUAAAAGUCGUAACAAGGUUUCCGUAGGUGAACCUGCGGAAGGAUCAUUCAUAAUAAGUGUUUUAUGGCACUUUUUAAAUCCAUAUCCACCUUGUGUGCAAUGUCAGUCGAUCUUCUUCAUGGAGAUCGGCCAAACAUCAACCUUAUUUUUUAACUCUUUGUCUGAAAAAUAUUAUGAAUAAACAAUUCAAAAUACAACUUUCAACAACGGAUCUCUUGGCUCUCGCAUCGAUGAAGAACGCAGCGAAAUGCGAUACGUAAUGUGAAUUGCAGAAUUCAGUGAAUCAUCGAAUCUUUGAACGCAUAUUGCGCUCUUUGGUAUUCCGAAGAGCAUGCUUGUUUGAGUAUCAGUAAACACCUCAAAGCUUUUGGAUUUUUUUUGAAAGCUUUGGACUUGAGCAAUCCCAACGCCAAUCUUUUUCAGAUCGGCGGCGGGUUGCUUGAAAUGCAGGUGCAGCUGGACUUUCUCCUGAGCUAAAAGCAUAUUCAUUUAGUCCCGUCAAACGGAUUAUUACUUUUGCUGCAGCUAACAUAAAGGGAGUUUGACCGUAUUGGCUGACUGAUGCAGGAUUUUACAAGGGUCGGCAACGAUUCUUGUUAAACUCGAUCUCAAAUCAAGUAAGACUACCCGCUGAACUUAAGCAUAUCAAUAAGCGGAGGAAAUCUUGGG